CAUCCACAUCAGAGAGCAGAACUUGAUAUAAUUUAUUAGACAAUAUAGAAAGUAAUGCAGUCUAAAAGGAGAUGUUGCCCACUGGUUGUGCCAUAAAGACGCACAGUGCAGAUACUGGAUGGUUCUGAGCUACUUUGACAAGAACAAAACAUUAAUUUUAAUGAUGAUCCUCGAACCAAACCAUUUCAACUCCAUAGACUACCUUAGUUCCCAUUUCAUAAAUCAAAAUUGGUCCUUGGACACACACAGGGGUACGCGCAUCUUGUAUACUUUUAGUUAGGGAACACUUUUUAUAAUGCUGUUUUUUUCUCAGUAAGUUGGAGUUGCAAAGAAUUACAUUUUUAUUCAUUUGAAUUAAUAAUUAUUUUCCUUGCUGUACCCAGUCUCAUAGCUUUCUAAUGGACUUUCUCAGCUACAUCAAGAGUACAAAGGUGGAUCAGCUGGAGGACCUGGCUUCCCAUCUGGGUUUGAGGACACAGGAUGCAAUUAAUAGAAUACAAGACCUGAUGGCAGAUGGUACUCUGACAGGUGACACUGGAGAAAUUACAUGUUUCUAUCUACGUGGGUUAGACUGUGAAUAGGUAACCUAGGAGCAGGAGGCCAGCCUCUGGGGCACAUGCCACAAGUGGCACCGGCAGUCUCUAUGGGGGCACACAGGAGAUCAGGGAAAGGGUAGCAGAAGAUAGU
rnacentral:lncRNA from 1 species